rnacentral:rRNA from 1 species
UACAGAGGUCUCGAGCGUUAGGCGGAAUCACUGGGCUUAAAGCGUGUGUAGGCGGGUCGUUAAGUACCUUGUGAAAUCCCUUGGCUCAACCAUGGAACUGCUGGGUAUACUGGCGAUCUUGUGCAACCUAGGGGCGAGCGGAACAGAUGGUGGAGCGGUGAAAUGCGUAGAUAUCAUCUGGAACGCCAAUGGUGAAAACAGCUCGCUGGGGGUUUGCAGACGCUGAGACACGAAAGCCAGGGGAGCGAACGGG